GGCGGGCCCCCUCCCACCCCUUGUUUUACUUUACCAGCUCUCCUCCAAGUCCUCUCCCCGUCUCGUGGUUCGCCGCCGCCGCCGCCGUUCCAACGCCGUGGGCGGGGUACGGGGGCUACAGGCCCGCAUGCCGUGGGCUGCUGCGAGGAUGUGAUGUGAUGCGAUGCGCGACGCGGUGGCGGCGUAAUCCACUCGAAACCACGGCCGCCGGCGCGGGGUGGAAAAGAAAAGGUGAUUCUCUAGAUCGGGGCUUUGUAUGUAUCGCCCGCUUCCCCUCUCUCUCUCGACACAUGAUGCGGACAUCCACGGAACAAAUGAAUUCCAUUAUCAAAAUGUAAUUCUGCAGAAUCAUUUCUUUAGAUCGGUACAUAUCCUUCAUGAAUCGGGAAAUAUCCUGAUCCUCAUGUUUAAUGGAUAUGCCUUAAGCUGCUGCUGGGCUGCUGGCAAGGGAUUCUACUUCUAAUUAAAAUUUUGAAUUAAAUUUGUAAAUAUACUGUUAAUUUGUUUUUUCUUAU
rnacentral:sRNA from 1 species